rnacentral:rRNA from 1 species
UCAGGUGGCCGCAGAGAAUAGGCCCAAGCGACUGUUUACCAAAAACAUAGGUUUCUGCUAAGUCGCAAGACGAUGUAUAGGAGCUGACGCCUGCCCGGUGCUGGAAGGUUAAGGGGAUCUGUUAGAGCAAUCGAAGCAGUGAACUUAAGCCCCAGUAAACGGCGGCCGUAACUAUAACGGUCCUAAGGUAGCGAAAUUCCUUGUCGGGUAAGUUCCGACCCGCACGAAAGGCGUAACGAUUUGGGCACUGUCUCAACAACAGACUCGGUGAAAUUGUAAUUCCGGUGAAGAUGCCGGAUACCUGCGACAGGACGGAAAGACCCCAUGGAGCUUUACUGUAGCUUGACAUUGGGUCUUGGUACUACAUGUACAGGAUAGGUGGGAGGCUUUGAAACCAGGACGCCAGUUUUGGCGGAGCCAUCCUUGGGAUACCACCCUUGUAGUACUGGGACUCUAACCAUAGGCCAUGAAUCUGGUCUUGGGACACUGUCAGGUGGGCAGUUUGACUGGGGCGGUCGCCUCCCAAAAGGUAACGGAGGCGCUCAAAGGUUCUCUCAGUACGGUCGGAAAUCGUACGUAGAGUGUAAAGGCAAAAGAGAGCUUGAUUGCAAGACAUACAGGUCGAGCAAGGAUGAAAAUCGGACUUAGUGAUCCGGUGGUUCUGCGUGGAAGGGCCA